AGACAUGCGAGUCAUUGUAGUAAUACAAGGCAGACGGCUCAGUAACGCGUAGUCAACCUAACCUAUGGACGGGAAUAACCUCGGGAAACUGAGUAUAAUGCCCGAUAGAACAUUAUGCCUGGAAUGGUUUAUGUUCCAAAUGAUUUAUCGCCGUAGGAUGGGACUGCGGCCUAUCAGUUUGUUGGUGAGGUAAUGGCCCACCAAGACUAUUACAGGUACGGGCUCUGAGAGGAGUAGCCCGGAGAUGGGUACUGAGACACGGACCCAGGCCCUAUGGGGCGCAGCAGGCGAGAAAACUUUGCAAUGUGCGAAAGCACGACAAGGUUAAUCCGAGUGGUUUCUGCUAAAGGAACCUUUUGACAGUCCUAGAAACACUGUUGAAUAAGGGGUGGGCAAGUUCUGGUGUCAGCCGCCGCGGUAAAACCAGCACCUCAAGUGGUCAGGAUGAUUAUUGGGCCUAAAGCAUCCGUAGCCGGCUCUGUAAGUUUUCGGUUAAAUCUGUACGCUCAACGUACAGGCUGCCGGGAAUACUGCAAAGCUAGGGAGUGGGGGAGGUAGACGGUACUCGGUAGGAAGGGGUAAAAUCCUUUGAUCUAUUGAUGACCACCUGUGGCGAAGGCGGUCUACCAGAACACGUCCGACGGUGAGGGAUGAAAGCUGGGGGAGCAAACCGGAUUAGAUACCCGGGUAGUCCCAGCUGUAAACCAUGCAAACUCAGUGAUGCAUUGGCUUGUGGCCAAUGCAGUGCUGCAGGAAAGCCGUUAAGUUUGCCGCCUGGGAAGUACGUACGCAAGUAUGAAACUUAAAGGAAUUGGCGGGG
rnacentral:rRNA from 1 species